rnacentral:rRNA from 1 species
GACGAGCCUCACAAACGUUAUUCGGAAUUACUGGGCUUAAAGGGUGCGUAGGCGGCGUGGAAAGUUGGGUGUGAAAUCCCUCGGCUCAACCGAGGAAUUGCGCUCAAAACUACCAUGCUCGAGGGAGAUAGAGGAAUGCGGAACUUACGGUGGAGCGGUGAAAUGCGUUGAUAUCGUAGGGAACACCGGUGGCGAAAGCGGCAUUCUGGAUCUCUUCUGGCGCUGAUGCACGAAAGCUAGGGUAGCAAACGGG